rnacentral:sRNA from 1 species
AUUCUGCCCAUGCGGGGAAGGAUGAGAAGCUUCGACCAAGGUUCGGCUCGAGCGCCAGCGAGAGAGCGUUGCCGC